AUGUAUGACACUGUUGACUUUUUGUCCAACGUUUGACCAUUCGUUUUAUUUAAAAAAUUUAUACAAUUAUCAUUUAUUUUAUUGUGACUUGAUUCGUCAUCAAAUAUUCUUUAAGCAUGACAUAAAUAUUUUCAUAUUUACAUAAAAAAUUUGAAUAAAACGAAUGGUCAAACGUUAGUCGAAAAGUCAACGGCGUCGUACAUU
rnacentral:pre_miRNA from 1 species